CCCGCUGAACUUAAGCAUAUCAAUAAGCGGAGGAAAAGAAACUAACAAGGAUUCCCCUAGUAACUGCGAGUGAAGCGGGAAAAGCUCAAAUUUGAAUUCUGGCGGUUCGUUGGACUGUCCGAGUUGUAAUCUAGAGAAGUGUCUACCUGUGCAGCACCAUGUACAAUUCUCCUGGAAUGGAGCAUCACAGAGGGUGAGAAUCCCGUCUUUGACAUGGACUACCUGUGCGAUAUGGUGCGCUCUCAAAGAGUCGAGUUGUUUGGGAAUGCAGCUCAAAAUGGGUGGUAAAUGCCAUCUAAAGCUAAAUAUUGGCGAGAGUCCUAUAGCGAACAAGUACCAUGAGGGAAAGAUGAAAAGAACUUUGGAAAGAGAGUUAAACAGUACGUGAAAUUGCUGAAAGGGAAACGCUUGAAGUCAGUCGCGUCAGCCAGAAAUCAGUCUUGCUUCUGCUUGAUGUACUUUCUGGCUUGAUGGGUCAGCAUCAAUUUUGACCGCUGGAUAAAGUCAUUGGGAAUGUGGCAUCUUCUGAUGUGUUAUAGCCUGUUGUCGCAUACAGUGGUUGGGAUUGAGGAACUCAGCACGCCGCGAGGCCGGGUCUUUUGACCACGUUCGUGCUUAGGAUGCUGGCAUAAUGGCUUUAAUCGACCCGUCUUGAAACACGG
rnacentral:rRNA from 1 species